rnacentral:rRNA from 1 species
GAUGAACGCUGGCGGCGUGCCUAAUACAUGCAAGUCGAGCGAACAGACGAGGAGCUUGCUCCUCUGACGUUAGCGGCGGACGGGUGAGUAACACGUGGAUAACCUACCUAUAAGACUGGGAUAACUUCGGGAAACCGGAGCUAAUACCGGAUAAUAUAUUGAACCGCAUGGUUCAAUAGUGAAAGACGGUUUUGCUGUCACUUAUAGAUGGAUCCGCGCCGCAUUAGCUAGUUGGUAAGGUAACGGCUUACCAAGGCAACGAUGCAUAGCCGACCUGAGAGGGUGAUCGGGCGAACUGGAACUGAGACACGGUCCAGACUCCGACGGGAGGGAGCAGGAGGGAAGAUUCCGCAAUGGGAGAAAGCCUAACGGAGCAACACGGCGUGAGUGAUGAAGGGUUUAGGAUCGUGAAACUCUGUGAUUAGGGAAGAACAAAUGUGUAAGGAACUGCGCACAUCGUGACGGUACCUAACAAGAAAGCCACGGCUAACUGCGUG